UACGGAGGGGGUUAGCGUUGUUCGGAAUUACUGGGCGUAAAGCGUACGUAGGCGGAUUAAUAAGUUAGAGGUGAAAUCCCAGGGCUCAACCUGGAACUGCCUUUAAAACUGUUAGUCUUGAGAUCGAGAGAGGUGAGUGGAAUUCCAAGUGUAGAGGUGAAAUUCGUAGAUAUUUGGAGGAACACCAGUGGCGAAGGCGGCUCACUGGCUCGAUACUGACGCUGAGGUACGAAAGUGU
rnacentral:rRNA from 1 species